CACGCACGCACGCACGCACACACACACACACACACACACACACACACACGCAUGCACACACCUCGCAUUGCAGGAACCUCACCGUGCUGUUUGCUCUCCCUUCUUCUGCUCUUCUUUUUGUUGUUGCUGCUUUGCUUGUCGCUGGUGACGGGUGGCGUCUGAUGCGUUUAUCUUCUCACCAGAGCCCCGCGUGACUGCUUUCUCCUCCUCCCCCGACUCCUCCGAGACUUCCCUCUACGAAAGCUUCGCAGCUGCUACGGCCACAAAGCCGACCCAAAAACCAACCGACACGAUUUGCAUUCUCUCUAUACACACACUAACGCAGAGCGUAGGCUUGCGGGCCCAGCGCAGCACUUGCGGCAGACGCGAGCACACCAGCACAAUCCCCAUUCAGGACUAGGCGGUUUCCCGCUCACGUGUAUGCAGCACGUACCACCGUUAGAGCCCUUCCCUUCCCUCAGGAGCACGAUAUUAGCUAACCAUACAUCAAAACGCGUACGCCCUCGCCAAGCAGAUGACGGCAACGCCGGCGCCGCGAGUCUUUCUGGCCUCUUGGCUGGAGAAGAAGAUGGAGUGGCGCUUCGUCUAUGAACACCGCUACUUCAUUCUUGAUGGUACUCGUCUCAGCUACCGCCUCGAGGAGCACGGCGCCGAGAAGAAGUUUGGCACCAUCAUCUCCUUUGACCCGUGGCGCGAGGGCUUGAGGGACGACACCUCUAAGGGAUAUUGCUUCACGGUGUGGCUGCUCGAGGGUGGCUCCUGGGAACUGCGAGCAGCGACGCGGGAGAUCUACGACAGCUGGCUGCAUGCACUUCUCACAGUGCUCGUACCCUCCGACUCCACCUCUGCAGUGCAGAGCGAGAGUGGCGGUAUGCCUAGCUCACGCGAAGCCUCCGUAACCGCAGACGUCGCUGCGACGCCCGGCGGACCAUCUUCCGGGCACCUCGAAAGUGAGAGUCUGGGCUGUUCUCGCAAGGCAGGCGCGGUAGGCGAGCGCGGCGACACCAUAAACAGUGCUAGUCCAACGCAAGCGGAGCCCGCCGACGCUUCGCGCAAAACGCCGGGCGCGAGCCCAGUAGCAGAAGGGGCCACCCUCACCGCGGCGUCCAUCGCUGCGGCCAUGAAUGCAAGCAACACCGUCUCCGUCUCCAACGAUGUGCUGCUGUCCUCCAUGGUGGAGAAGGAGACGGCCUGGCGAGGCCGUUGGAAGCCGCGCUACAUGGAGCUGCUUGAGGGGCGCCACCUUGUUAUUCGGUCCUCUGCCACAUCCAAGACGGAGCGACAACACUAUGUCAUUGAGGCGGUGGACCCUUCACCACUUGUAGGCCAAGAGGUAUGGUUGCUCUUCACCGCAAGCAACGGCGACCGCUUCUGGGUUCGCUACGGCUCUGUGGAGGAGUGCCAGCGCUGGUACACGGUCUGCCGGCGGCUGCUUCACGCGGAGUGCUCAUGGCACUGGCUGCCGCUCGCCGAGAACGACGCUGGCCGCUCGCUGCGGCUGCGGCAAGCCACAAGCGGCGAUUACAGCGACCUGCAGUUGCACUACCACUCAGCUACAGUGGUGCCGUCUUUUCAAAAAGGAACGUGGUGCCCGUCGCUGUACAUCUUCGGGGGCUCGGACCGGUGGUGCAAGCAGCUGUUCAACCCUCAGGCACGCGCCUUUCUCCCGCACGCCGAAUCCGCGCACACGACAAAUCAGCUGUGUACGCUGGAGCUGACAGGCCCGCACGUGAUGCAGCUGUGGAAGCCUGCACCGUACGAGGAGGGCCCGCACGCGUUGGUGCGCCCGCUUUCCCGCUACGGCGCGACAUUGACGUGCAUUCCUGUGGAGGUGCCGCCAUCGUCCGCGCGAAACGACUCGCCGCAGCAGACGAUCGGGGCACGCGUCGUACUGUUUGGCGGGCUGUCGGGUGGCGGAUAUCAGCCGCCCGCCACGGAGCUCUGGAGCGUGUGGCGCAGCGCGGCGGCGUGCGCCGAAGACGUCGAGAUGCAGUGGAACAGGCACGAUCUGCCCCCGUACGAGCUCCCGAUGCUGGCCUUUCACGACGCCGUGUGCGUCCCGUGGAGGUGUGCGGCUGCAAAGAGCAGCUCAGACCCUCACAAGCGGCACCACACCGAUGGCGGGUUUCUUCUCGUGACAGGUGGCCUCGAUGUGGAGUAUCGCUGCAGGGCCGAGUGCUACGCGGUGGUGUGGAACGAUGCGGACCUCACCGAGGCGGAUGAGCAGCUUCGCCCAACCGACUCGGCGACCAAGGAUAAUCUCGAGGAGAGAGCGCGCCUGGCAAAGCCGGUGGCGUUUGCCUUUGGCCAGCUGCCAGAGCCGCGCGCGUUUCACCGCAUGGCGGUCAUCGAGGACGGCACGGUGGUUCUUGUUGGCGGCAGAGGCGUGGAGAACGCCGCGGUGGAUCAUCCUGUCCUGACGCUGGCACCGGAGGUGUGGCGUCGCGCAUCUAAGGCGUGGAGAGACGUCGCGACCGCUGCCACAGCACCGCCUGAGAGCGACGUCAACGGAACCGAGCCGAGGAGCGAGAAUCAAUGCCGGCGGACGAGUGGCGAGGACGAGGCCGAUGCAGGCGCGACCGAUGACGCGGAUGCUUCGUCUUCGCAGUGGCUGGCAGCAUCGUUCGACUGCUCUACGACCCCCACGUUGUCCACGGCGCUCCGCGCAGUCGCCGCACUACCGAACGAGAUGGGUGAUGUGGCCGUCGCUGCCACCGAGCACGGCAAUCGCGUGGUGGUUAUGGGGCAAGUCUCGCAGCCACGCCAGGAUGUGAAGCUGUACUUGCUGGACUUGGAGCCUGUCGUGGCACCCACUUCAAAUGGCCGUCGCCGCGGAUCGCGCGGCAUCAGUGCAGGGCAGCAGCUCCCCGCUGGCACGAGACGUGCUCGGUGUCAGGAGGUGGUGCUCUUCGUCGGCGCCGUGCCGAAUCGCGUGGUGGGUAUCACCCUGCACGUGUAUAACGACUAUCUGUUCGUGAUUGGCGGCUGCAUGGUUGACAAGUCCAAGUCGGAGCCGUACAAGUUGUGCGGGCCCCUGCGUAUCCUGCUUGAAUGAGAGCGCUGCCCCCUCCUCCUUCCUACUUCUGUCCCUUCCUCUCCAAGUCUGGAAGUCACGCCUGAUGGACGACUGAUGAGUACGGCAUGGGGUGGUGGUGGUGGUGGGCGGCGCCUUUUCCUUUUGUUUUUGUUUCGUUGUCUGUGCUUGAGCAUCUGUACCUGUGGACUCGGUAAUGAUGGCGCUCUCUUUCUCUCGCGUAGCUCUCGGUGUAUGCGGGCGCUUCGAACGAAACACCUUUGCCACACGUUCACUGCUGCGCGUGUGCGCAUGCGUCUUCUCUUCGUUUUUUUUUUCUUCGUUGUUGUUUUGGUUUGCUUGCAGAAAUCGAUGACGCGUUCACGGCCACCAAAGGGGAUUCCACUCGUGCCCCACCCCCUUUUUUCCGCCUCUCUUCUCUAUUCUGUUGCUGUGUUCUCCUCGUGCUCUCUUCUUGCUUUCAUGUUCUCCAUCCACCAAGCACGGGUAGCCGAGGAGAAUGGCGAUGAUGAUGGCGUCUAUCGCGUAUGUAAAAAGGGCUACCGGCGGUCUAUCACAUCGGCUCUUUCAAGAGCUGCGCACACGCAAGCGAACAGGCAGCCGGCACAGGCUUCCGCACACCGUCUCUAACCCCCUCCCCCUCCCCUCUCCUCCUCCGCUUCCCGCAUUCCCACGAAGCGCUGACAGCACAUCUCUCACUCCUUCACGCUCCGCGCGUGGGCGUCUCGCUUGUGCUUUGCUUUUGUUUUGCUCGAUUUUGGCGUUCGGGGCUGCGCCGUGUCAUUUGCUGUAACGGGCGGGACGGGGCGACGUGAGGGAAGCGGGCUCAGUGUCUCACCGUGAUGCGCGAGGAGGCAAAAAGCGAAGAAGGAACAAGCCAACGGCAGCUCUGCAGCCUGUUUUUGCACCACCGGAUACAUUCUGUUCUGGUCUGUGUGUCUGGCAGACGCAUGAAGACCACAUGCACCGCAGCAUCGCAUCCCCACUCGCGGCACUGGAGCGUGUCUGAAGGACGCUAUCCUUGACAGGCUUUGCUGCGGUUCGGCAGCCAUGUCACUUCUCGCGCACUCGUCUUGUUUUUCCUUUCACCUCUGCCCCUUUUAUUCAUUCCUCGAG
rnacentral:misc_RNA from 1 species